rnacentral:rRNA from 1 species
UACAGAGGUCUCAAGCGUUGUUCGGAUUCAUUGGGCGUAAAGGGUGCGUAGGCGGCGCGGUAAGUCGGGUGUGAAAUCUCGGAGCUUAACUCCGAAACUGCAUUCGAUACUGCCGUGCUUGAGGACUGGAGAGGAGACUGGAAUUUACGGUGUAGCGGUGAAAUGCGUAGAUAUGACAUAGAACACCAAUUGCGAAGGCAGCUCACUACGGGAUUAUUGACACUGAGGCACGAAAGCGUGGGGAUCAAACAGG